GACGAACGCUGGCGGCGUGCUUAACACAUGCAAGUCGAACGAAGUGGCGCACGGGUGAGUAACGCGUAAUCAACCUGCCCUUCAGGGGGGGAUAACAGUUGGCAACGACUGCUAAUACCGCAUACUGAAGGAUGGGAUUGCGUCUGAUUAGCUCGUUGGAGGGGUAACGGCCCACCAAGGCGAUGCUCAGUAGGCGGUCUGAGAGGAUGAACGGCCACAUUGGUACUGAGACACGGCCCAGACUCCUACGGGAGGCAGCAGGGGGGAAUCGUCCGAAAUGGACGAAAGUCGGACGGAGCAACGCCGCGUGAGUGAUGACGGCCGUCGGGUUGUAAAGCUCUGUUAAUCGGGACGCGGUACCGGAAUAGAAAGCCACGGCUAACUACGUGCCAGCAGCCGCGGUAAUAC
rnacentral:rRNA from 1 species